ensembl:misc_RNA Metazoa_SRP Metazoan signal recognition particle RNA
GCCGGACGCGGUGGCGCGUGCCUGUAGUCCCAGCUACUCGGGAGGCUGAGGUGGGAGGAUCUCUUGAGUUCAGGAGUUCUGGGCUGCAGUGCGCUAUGCCGAUCAAGUGUCCGCACUAAGUUCAGCAUUAAUAUGGUGACCUCCCGGAAGUGGGGGACCACCAGGUUGCCUAAGGAGGGGUGAACCGGCCCAGGUCGGAAACGGAGCAGGUCAAAACUCCCGUGCUGAUCAGAACCUGGGCACAGCAGGUAGUGCUGAUAAGCUGGACAAAUCAAAGAAUAUCAUCA